UACGUAGGGUGCAAGCGUUGUCCGGAAUUAUUGGGCGUAAAGAGCUCGUAGGCGGCCUGUCGCGUCCGCUGUGAAAACCCGGGAGCUCAACUCCGGGCCUGCAGUCGAUACGGGCAGACUGGAGUUCGGCAGGGGGAGACUGGAAUUCCUGGUGUAGCGGUGAAAUGCGCAGAUAUCAGGAGGAACACCGGUGGCGAAGGCGGGUCUCUGGGCCGAUACUGACGCUGAGGAGCGAAAGCGUGGGGAGCGAACAGG
rnacentral:rRNA from 1 species